GAGAAGAGGGAUCGCGCUUCCUCAGAAGGCUAGAGGUCCCUCCCUCAGCCGUCACGGCUUCCCUCCGUGGCCCUUAAUCCUCUGGGGCGGGGGUUUGUUUCUAAGGCGCUGAGCCCUUUACCUUUCCGGAUCCGGGCAUGGUGCUGGCAACGCCUCUCUCCUCGCCUCGUCGUAAAAAUAAUGCGUUAAAAAAAUUCAGUUUGUUAUGCGAGCAGCAUUCCAACAGUACACAAUUAUAUCCGAAAUAGUUAAGCAAUAAAAGAAAAAAAAAUGACGGGCGUUGUUGAGGCAGGAGGAUUACUGCGAAUUCUACUCCACCUUGGGCUACAUACCGAGAUUGUGUCAAAAAACACGGAGUGGGGGAAAUUUUUCGUUGGGAACCAAAGAUUCCAUGAAAAUGCUCCGAUGUGUGCUGCUCCUAGGAUCCUAGUGAUCCAAAGACUUCUGCAUCCUUCCACAAACCUUUUACAUCACCCGAGAUCUACGUAACUGUGUUUAUGACAGCAACAGCUCCACUUCUAAGUACCAACUUGUCAGAACACGAAAGAAUGGAGUCGUAUGAUAUUAGUGCUUGUGAGGAAACGCCAAGAAAAUACGAGCCUUGUGAUCUCAGUUCCUUCAAACAUGGAGCCAUUCUUAGAAUGUGCUUUCAUGCUUCUCUCAGAUGUAGCCUGUAGAGUGGGUUCACUUCAGAUUACUCAUUAAACUGCCUAUUGUUAUUUGUUUAUAUGCCUUUAUGGAAAACAUGUUUUUGCCAUGUGCAAUUUGUCCUUGUGAUUGUACACUUUACCGUGUGAUUCCUCUGAACACUCAGAGUAUAAAUUGAAUGGUUCUCUGAAUAAAGUUGGCUGUUGGGUGAGACUUUAGUGUACCUCAUUUAUCAGCUGCACUCUCUCAGGUCCCAUCACCUCUGGGGCAGCCACACCAGCUUUCUGUCUAGUUACUUGCUUUAGUGCCAUGAAAAGAUAGCCAAAGCAACAGAAGGAGUAAAGGAUUGCCUGUGCUUCUCAUUUUACUGAAAGUUCACUAUGGGGGUGACGCCAUGGCAGCAGAGCAGGAGUGCACUACAUCUGUGUGCAGGGAGCAGAGAGACAUGAAUGCUCACCAUGGAUGUGAAGACAGUGGGGCAGGAGUGCACUGCAUCUGUGUGCAGGGAGCAGAGAGAGAGAUGAAGGAAUGCUGACGUUUAGCUUUCUUCUUUUUAUUUAUUGUAGAAACCCUGCUUUUGCCCACAUUUAGAUGGGCUUUUCCCACCUCAAUAACUCAGCAUAGACACUUCCUAACAUAAUGUCCACUGCCUUCCCUUCUAGGUGUUUUAGAUUUUGUCAAGUUGGUGACAUUAAUCAUCAAGAAUUGUAUUAAAAUUCCAGAUCAUGGAAAAUGGAUGUUAUGUAAAUUAAUUUUAUUUUUGCAAUACUAAUGAUUGAUCCCAGAGUCUUGCAUGUGCUACCAAGUGCUGAACCGCUGAGCUACACUCCCAAAGAAGGAACGGAUUCUUUUUAAAGGUAAUGUAGACAUAGGGUGUACCAAGUGCUUCAUUUGUGUUCAGUUGUUUCUAUGAGACACUGUGUCCUGUAGCCCAAGUGCCCAGGCCAUUGAACUUUUGACCCUCCUGCCUCAGACCUGCUAGUAUUAGAGGUUUAAGCCACCACACAAACUGAGCAGUGGUCUCUCUUAUGUUAAUUUAUUUAAUUCACUGACCCUCCCCACCUCUGUCAUGGGUAGCUGAAACAGAGGUUAUAGAAAACUGAUUCAAACUAAUUCAGUCUGGUUUUUCUCUCCCAGAAUUUAUAGGUAGGUUUGGUUAGUCUCAACCUAGAAAGGUAUGACACAGCCAAACAGACCUUUGAGCCACACACAGUUGGAUGUGGGAACUUUGAAGGCGUGCACAGACUUACCCACAUCUCCAAAUAAACUGCUAAUUUAAGCCCACCCGAACCACCUCUGGCUUAAAACACUGGUUUUGCAAGUUUUCAAGUAGCAGUUUCUUCCCAUGUACCCUAUAAAUUUCUUAUUUAAUUCAUUUGGGUUUUUUUUUUCUCUUUACAAUUGUAACUGCUUAUUCAUAGCCCCCUUUCCGUCUCAAUCUGUAGAAAUGCUUUCAUCAGCUGAGACGGCAAACGUCAAUGGCGUGUAAAUGUGACAUCAGCCCUUGAAGUGCAUUCCAGAACAAUGUUUCCUAUUGGAUCUUUCAGUUCUAUAGCUCAGUUUUGGUGAUGAUUCAUAUGAGGAUGGCAGUGAUUCAUCUGAUUUCAGUGAGCCACAGGAUCUCAAAGAAGAACCUCACGUCCUCCAGCCCAAUUUAAAAAGAAGUUCUCACAUAUGAGUAAGAGCAGUUACAUUCCAGUACAUUAAACAGAGCCAGGCAGAGUGACUCAUGCCUGGAGCCCCAGCAUCCCAGAGGCAGGAAGGUUAAGAGUUCAAGGCCAGCCUGCACUACAAAGACACAGGCUCUGUCUCAAAAACAAACAAACAAACAAAAGUAGGCAGCAGUAACAACAACAACCACCACCACUAAAGCACACUUUGGAAUGAAGAAAGCCAUUUUCAAGAGGACUGCUUUUCAUUUAUAAGACGGUAAUCGGUAGAGGACACAACUGAAUAAGGGUCUGCAAUAGAAGAGACAACGUUGAAAGGAAAUUGAUACUUCAUUAUUAAUGCGAGCACAUGAUUCUUUUCCAAAGCCCGUCUUACCAGACAGAUUUAAGAACACAAUUGCUGGGGUUUUAGACAUCAUAUAAUGUAUGACAUAAUCUAGUGCCACCCACUGCAGAACCUCACUGGAGAUGGACCACCAUGUUCAAUAAAAAAAUGUCAAGC
ensembl:processed_transcript Gm12059 predicted gene 12059